CGCGAAGAACCUUACCUGGUCUUGACAUCCACGGAAGUUUUCAGAGAUGAGAAUGUGCCUUCGGGAACCGUGAGACAGGUGCUGCAUGGCUGUCGUCAGCUCGUGUUGUGAAAUGUUGGGUUAAGUCCUGCAACGAGCGCAACCCUUAUCCUUUGUUGCCAGCGGUCCGGCCGGGAACUCAAAGGAGACUGCCAGUGAUAAACUGGAGGAAGGUGGGGAUGACGUCAAGUCAUCAUGGCCCUUACGACCAGGGCUACACACGUGCUACAAUGGCGCAUACAAAGAGAAGCGACCUCGCGAGAGCAAGCGGACCUCAUAAAGUGCGUCGUAGUCCGGAUUGGAGUCUGCAACUCGACUCCAUGAAGUCGGAAUCGCUAGUAAUCGUGGAUCAGAAUGCCACGGUGAAUACGUUCCCGGGUCUUGUACACACC
rnacentral:rRNA from 1 species